rnacentral:rRNA from 1 species
GUUGAACGCUGGCGGCAGGCUUAACACAUGCAAGUCGAGCGGAGAUGAGGUGCUUGCACCUUAUCUUAGCGGCGGACGGGUGAGUAAUGCUUAGGAAUCUGCCUAUUAGUGGGGGACAACAUUCCGAAAGGAAUGCUAAUACAGCAUACGUCCUACGGGAGAAAGCAGGGGAUCUUCGGACCUUGCGAUAAUAGAUGAGCCUAAGUCGGAUUAGCUAGUUGGUGGGGUAAAGGCCUACCAAGGCGACGAUCUGUAGCGGGUCUGAGAGGAUGAUCCGCCACACUGGGGCAACGCCACGGCCCAGACUCCUACGGGAGGCAGCAGUGGGGAAUAUUGGACAAUGGGGGGAACACUGAUCCAGCCAUGCCGCGUGUGUGAAGAAGGACUUAUGGUUGUAAAGCACUUUAAGCGAGGAGGGGGCUACUGAGACUAAUACUCUUGGAUAGUGGACGUUACUCGCAGAAUAAGCACCGGCUAACUCUGUGCCAGCCGCCGCCGUAAUAC